GACGAACGCUGGCGGCGUGCCUAAUACAUGCAAGUUGAGCGCUGAAGGUUGGUACUUGUACCAACUGGAUGAGCAGCGAACGGGUGAGUAACGCGUGGGGAAUCUGCCUUUGAGCGGGGGACAACAUUUGGAAACGAAUGCUAAUACCGCAUAAAAACUAUAAACACAAGUUUUAAGUUUGAAAGAUGCAAUUGCAUCACUCAAAGAUGAUCCCGCGUUGUAUUAGCUAGUUGGUGAGGUAAAGGCGCACCAAGGCGAUGAUACAUAGCCGACCUGAGAGGGUGAUCGGCCACAUUGGGACUGAGACACGGCCCAAACUCCUACGGGAGGCAGCAGUAGGGAAUCUUCGGCAAUGGACGAAAGUCCGACCGAGCAACGCCGCGUGAGUGAAGAAGGUUUUCGGAUCGUAAAACUCUGUUGGUAGAGAAGAACGUUGGUGGGAGUGGAAAGCUCAUCAAGUGACGGUAACUACCCAGAAAGGGACGGCUAACUACGUG
rnacentral:rRNA from 1 species